rnacentral:rRNA from 1 species
CACGCCGUAAACGAUGAGUGCUAGGUGUUAGGGGUUUCGAUACCCUUGGUGCCGAAGUUAACACAGUAAGCACUCCGCCUGGGGAGUACGGUCGCAAGACUGAAACUCAAAGGAAUUGACGGGGACCCGCACAAGCAGUGGAGUAUGUGGUUUAAUUCGAAGCAACGCGAAGAACCUUACCAGGUCUUGACAUCCCUCUGAAUCCAUUAGAGAUAGUGGCGGCCUUCGGGACAGAGGAGACAGGUGGUGCAUGGUUGUCGUCAGCUCGUGUCGUGAGAUGUUGGGUUAAGUCCCGCAACGAGCGCAACCCUUGACUUUAGUUGCCAGCAGGUAAGGCUGGGCACUCUAGAGUGACUGCCGGUGACAAACCG